UACGAAGGGGGCUAGCGUUGCUCGGAUUGACUGGGCGUAAAGGGCGCGUAGGCGGUUCGUACAGUCAGACGUGAAAUUCCUGGGCUCAACCUGGGGGCUGCGUUUGAUACGUGCGGACUUGAGUGCGGAAGAGGGUCGUGGAAUUCCCAGUGUAGAGGUGAAAUUCGUAGAUAUUGGGAAGAACACCGGUGGCGAAGGCGGCGACCUGGACCAAUUCUGACGCUCAGGCGCGACAGCGUGGGGAUCAAACAGG
rnacentral:rRNA from 1 species